AGCGAACGCUGGCGGCAGGCUUAACACAUGCAAGUCGAGCGGGCAUCUUCGGAUGUCAGCGGCAGACGGGUGAGUAGCACGUGGGAACGUACCCUUCGGUUCGGAACAACUCCGGGAAACUGGAGCUAAUACCGGAUACGCCCUUAUGGGGAAAGGUUUACUGCCGAAGGAUCGGCCCGCGUCUGAUUAGCUAGUUGGUGGGGUAACGGCCUACCAAGGCGACGAUCAGUAGCUGGUCUGAGAGGAUGAUCAGCCACACUGGGACUGAGACACGGCCCAGACUCCUACGGGAGGCAGCAGUGGGGAAUAUUGGACAAUGGGCGCAAGCCUGAUCCAGCCAUGCCGCGUGAGUGAUGAAGGCCUUAGGGUUGUAAAGCUCUUUUGUCCGGGACGAUAAUGACGGUACCGGAAGAAUAAGCCCCGGCUAACUUCGUG
rnacentral:rRNA from 1 species